rnacentral:rRNA from 1 species
AGUGAACGCUGGCGGUAGGCCUAACACAUGCAAGUCGAACGGCAGCACAGUAAGAGCUUGCUCUUACGGGUGGCGAGUGGCGGACGGGUGAGGAAUACAUCGGACUCUACUUUUUCGUGGGGGAUAACGUAGGGAAACUUACGCUAAUACCGCAUACGACCUACGGGUGAAAGCAGGGGAUCUUCGGACCUUGCGCGGUUGAAUGAGCCGAUGCCGGGUUAGCUAGUUGGCGGGGUAAAGGCCCAGCAAGGCGACGAUCCGUAGCCGGUCUGAGAGGAUGGUCGGCCACACUGGAACGGGGACACGGUCCAGACUCCUACGGGAGGCAGCAGUGGGGAAUAUUGGACAAUGGGCGCAAGCCUGAUCCAGCCAUACCGCGUGGGUGAAGAAGGCCUUCGGGUUGUAAAGCCCUUUUGUUGGGAAAGAAAAGCAGCAGGUUAAUACCCCGCUGUUCUGACGGUACCCAAAGAAUAAGCACCGGCUAACUUCGUG